AAUCAACGUUGGCGGCGUGCCUAACACAUGCAAGUCGAACGAGAAAGUCCGGUAGCAAUACUGGGUGAGUAAAGUGGCGUACGGGUGAGUAACACGUGGAUAACCUACCUCCGAAUGGGGAAUAACCCUGGGAAACCGGGGCUAAUACCGCAUAACAUCCCGGAACGAUGGUGCUGGGAUUGAAACUUGGAAACGAGGUUUGGAGAGGGGUCCGCGGCUGAUUAGCUAGUUGGUGAGGUAACGGCCCACCAAGGCAUGAUCGGUAGCCGGCCUGAGAGGGCGGACGGCCACACUGGAACUGAAACACGGUCCAGACUCCUACGGGAGGCAGCAGUGGGGAAUUUUGCGCAAUGGGGGAAACCCUGACGCAGCAACGCCGCGUGGACGAUGAAGCAUCUUGGUGUGUAAAGUCCUUUCGGCAGGGACGAAACCCGAGCAAUCGGGCGGACGGUACCUGAAGAAGAAGCCCCGGCUAACU
rnacentral:rRNA from 1 species